rnacentral:tRNA from 1 species
GGUGCCGUUGAGGUAGACGGCCAAGCCUUCGGUGACCCCGAACGUCACCGGUUCCUGUUUGUCGAGCCGUGCCGUCGAUCCUUUCGGCGCGCCGGCCC